rnacentral:rRNA from 1 species
AAUGGGUCAGCGACUUAUAUUCUGUAGCAAGGUUAACCGUAUAGGGGAGCCGUAGGGAAACCGAGUCUUAACCGGGCGUUAAGUUGCAGGGUAUAGACCCGAAACCCGGUGAUCUAGCCAUGGGCAGGUUGAAGGUUGGGUAACACUAACUGGAGGACCGAACCGACUAAUGUUGAAAAAUUAGCGGAUGACCUGUGGCUGGGGGUGAAAGGCCAAUCAAACCGGGAGAUAGCUGGUUCUCCCCGAAAGCUAUUUAGGUAGCGCCUCGUGAAUUCAUCUCCGGGGGUAGAGCACUGUUUCGGCUAGGGGGCCAUCCCGGCUUACCAACCCGAUGCAAACUGCGAAUACCGGAGAAUGUUAUCACGGGAGACACACGGCGGGUGCUAACGUCCGUCGUGAAGAGGGAAACAACCCAGACCGCCAGCUAAGGUCCCAAAGUCAUGGUUAAGUGGGAAACGAUGUGGGAAGGCCCAGACAGCCAGGAUGUUGGCUUAGAAGCAGCCAUCAUUUAAAGAAAGCGUAAUAGCUCACUGGUCGAGUCGGCCUGCGCGGAAGAUGUAACGGGGCUAAACCAUGCACCGAAGCUGCGGCAGCGACGCUGAUGCGUUGUUGGGUAGGGGAGCGUUCUGUAAGCCUGUGAAGGUGGCCUGUGAGGGUUGCUGGAGGUAUCAGAAGUGCGAAUGCUGACAUAAGUAACGAUAAAGCGGGUGAAAAGCCCGCUCGCCGGAAGACCAAGGGUUCCUGUCCAACGUUAAUCGGGGCAGGGUGAGUCGACCCCUAAGGCGAGGCCGAAAGGCGUAGUCGAUGGGAAACGGGUUAAUAUUCCCGUACUUGGUGUUACUGCGAAGGGGGGACGGAGAAGGCUAUGUUGGCCGGGCGACGGUUGUCCCGGUUUAAGCGUGUAGGUGUGUGUUCCAGGUAAAUCCGGUUCACUUUAACACUGAGGCGUGAUGACGAGGCACUACGGUGCUGAAGCAACAAAUGCCCUGCUUCCAGGAAAAGCCUCUAAGCAUCAGGUAACAUCAAAUCGUACCCCAAACCGACACAGGUGGUCAGGUAGAGAAUACCAAGGCGCUUGAGAGAACUCGGGUGAAGGAACUAGGCAAAAUGGUGCCGUAACUUCGGGAGAAGGCACGCUGACACGUAGGUGAAGUGAUUUACUCAUGGAGCUGAAGUCAGUCGAAGAUACCAGCUGGCUGCAACUGUUUAUUAAAAACACAGCACUGUGCAAACACGAAAGUGGACGUAUACGGUGUGACGCCUGCCCGGUGCCGGAAGGUUAAUUGAUGGGGUCAGCGCAAGCGAAGCUCCUGAUCGAAGCCCCGGUAAACGGCGGCCGUAACUAUAACGGUCCUAAGGUAGCGAAAUUCCUUGUCGGGUAAGUUCCGACCUGCACGAAUGGCGUAAUGAUGGCCAGGCUGUCUCCACCCGAGACUCAGUGAAAUUGAACUCGCUGUGAA